UGUUGGUAUUCAAAGAAUGGAUGUAGUUGGUUCUCAACCAAAUGUUACGGUCACACCAACUCAGGGACAGGUAAGCUUCGUACGGUUGAACCUCAUUGCCUAACAAAGGUGAUUUGCAGCAUUAACUGCAUAUUGGCUUCCCCUAAGAUCAAGAAGAAGUUAGUUUCAAAAAAACAAGGAAAUGUCAAUGUAUACCGUUUAGUUUCCCGCAAAUAGUGAAUUUUGGUGAUUGUGUAGAGGUGUGGACCAGGCAUCAUUGAUUAAUUUUUCCA